UCCCUGGUGGCUCAGACGGUAAAGCGCCUGUCUAAAAUGCGGGAGACCCAGGUUCGAUUCCUGGGUUGGGAA